CGAAGUAUUCUUUCAUUUUAAUUUUUGAGACAAUUAGAGCCGCAUACUUUGACUUUUCCUGUGUGAAUCAGAGCCUACAUCCACCACAGAAGCUCGACCGUGCUUGGUGGUCAUGGCGACGGUGCAGCUCGAAGUGAUAUCCAGAGAGUUCAUCAAGCCCUCCUCCCAAACUCCAGCUCACCUAAGGAAUUUCAACCUCUCUUACUUCGAUCAGAUCGCUGCUCGUAUGUACAUCCCACUUGUCUUCUUCUAUAAUCCUUGCAAUACCACUUCCACCACUUUUGAGACAUCCAAUCUCCUCAAAAAAUCUUUAUCUGAAACCCUAACCGUGUACUACCCCUUUGCCGGAAAGAUCAAAGACCGAGAAUUCAUCGACUGCAACGACGAGGGAGUUUUGUUCUUGGAAGCAAAGGUCAAAGUGAAGAUGUCUGAAAUUCUUGAUGAUCGGAGACAUGAGAACUUGGACCUUUUGUUUGCAGACAAUUUGCAGUGGAACGAUGCGAGUUUGAGUACUUUACUUGCAAUACAAGUCAGCUACUUUGAUUGUGGAGGAAUGAUAUUAAGUGUGUACUUUACUUGCACACAAAAUUGGCGAUGCAGCAACUUCGGUCAACUUCGUCAAUGACUGGGCUGCCAAGGCUUCAAACUCAGGCAAACAUGUGUCCCCUUUACUCUGUGUACCCCCGAUUUUUCCGAGGGGUGACAUACCGCUUAUGCCGGAAUCUUCCCCCAAUAAAGGAAAAUGUUCCUCCAGAAGAUUUGUAUUCGAUGCGCCAAAAAUUGCUGCCCUCAAAGCCAUAGUAGCUGACAGAGUGCAAAAGCCUACAAAGGUAGAAGUUGUGAGUGGUCUACUAUAUAAAUGUGCAAUUUCUGCAGCCAAUGCAAGUUCAUCAGGUGCAACAAGACCAGCCCUUCUGAUCCCAAAUGUCAACCUCCGAAGCAGGAUGAGUCCUCCGCUGCCAGAAAACUAUGUGGGUAACCUCAGUUGGGUAUUUCCGGUUCUGAAGAGAGAGGACAGUUUGCAUAGCUUGGUGAGUCAAAUGAAAGAGGGUUUGUCAGACUUCUGCAACACAUAUGUCAAGAAUGUUUCAAGGGGUACUGAAUUGGCCUUGAGUAUUAGGAAACAGAUGGAGAAGGUAAAGGAAAUGUACAAGAGCAGUGAGCAAGUAGUACAACACAAUUGUAGUAGCUGGUGCAGGUUCCCAAUAUAUGAAGCAGAUUUUGGGUGGGGAAAGCCUGUGUGGGUGAGUAUUGGUGCUUGUCUUGACAAGAAUGUCAUGAUUCUGAUGGAUAGUAAAAGUGGGGAUGGGAUUGAAGCUAUUGUGACUCUGGAAGAGCAAGACAUGGCUGCUUUCGAAUGUGAUGAGGAGUUGCUAGCAUUUGCUGCUCAAAAUCCAAAUCCGUUAAGUCAAGUUUGAUGUUAUAUAUAUAUAUAGUCG